rnacentral:rRNA from 1 species
GCUGGCGGCGCGCUUACACAUGCAAGUCGAGCGAGAAAGCCCCUUCGGGGUGUGAGUACAGCGGCGCACGGGUGAGUAACACGUGGACAAUCUACCUCGAAGUGGGGGAUAACUUCGCGAAAGUGGGGCUAAUACCGCAUAAUCUUCUUUUGCCGAGGUGAAAGGAGGAAAGGUUUACCGCUUUGAGAUGAGUCUGCGGCCCAUCAGCUAGUUGGUAGGGUAACGGCCUACCAAGGCGACGACGGGUAGCUGGCCUGAGAGGGUAACCAGCCACACUGGAACUGGAACACGGUCCAGACUCCUACGGGAGGCAGCAGUGGGGAAUCUUGCGCAAUGGGGGAAACCCUGACGCAGCGACGCCGCGUGGGUGAAGAAGGCCUUCGGGUUGUAAAGCCCUGUCGCAGAGGAAGAAAAGGCAACUUGACGGUACUCUGUGAGAAAGCACAGGCUAACUCCGUGCCAGCAGCCGCGGUAAUACGAAGGUCCCGAGCGUUGUUCGGAUUUACUGGGCGUAAAGAGUCUGUAGGCGGUAUGGUAAGUCAGAUGUGAAAUCCCGAAGCUCAACUUCGGAACUGCAUCCGAUACUGCCGUACUUGAGUAUUGGAGGGGAGUCUGGAAUUCUCGGUGUAGCAGUGAAAUGCGUAGAUAUCGAGAGGAACACUAGUGGCGAAGGCGAGACUCUGGACAAUUACUGACGCUGAGAGACGAAGGCCAGGGGAGCGAAAAGGAUUAGAUACCCUUGUAGUCCUGGCAGUAAACGGUGCACGCUUGGUGUGGGAGGAUUCGACCCCUUCCGUGCCGGAGCUAACGCGUUAAGCGUGCCGCCUGGGGAGUACGGUCGCAAGAUUAAAACUCAAAGAAAUUGACGGGGACCCGCACAAGCGGUGGAGCAUGUGGCUUAAUUCGAUGCAACGCGAAGAACCUUACCUGGGCUUGACAUGUUAGUCGUAGACUUAUGAAAGUUUGUCGUCACUUCGGGUGGACUAUCACAGGUGCUGCAUGGCUGUCGUCAGCUCGUGUCGUGAGAUGUCAGGUUAAGUCCUAUAACGAGCGCAACCCCUAUGAACUGUUGCCAGCGGAUAAUGCCGGGGACUCUGUUCAGACUGCCCAGAUUAACUGGGAGGAAGGAGGGGAUGACGUCAAGUCAGUAUGGCCCUUACGCCCAGGGCUGCACACGUGCUACAGUGUCCAGUACAGUAUGAUCCAAUACCGCGAGGUGGAGGAAAUCCUAAAAACUGGGCUCAGUUCGGAUUGUAGGCUGCAACUCGCCUACAUGAAGUUGGAAUCGCUAGUAAUGGUACAUCAGCUACGGUACCGUGAUACGUUCCCGGGUCUUGACACACCGCCCGUCACAUCAUGGAAGCCGCUCGCACCCGAAGU